GAUGAACGCUGGCGGCGUGCCUAAUACAUGCAAGUCGAGCGAACAGACGAGGAGCUUGCUCCUCUGACGUUAGCGGCGGACGGGUGAGUAACACGUGGAUAACCUACCUAUAAGACUGGGAUAACUUCGGGAAACCGGCGCUAAUACCGGAUAAUAUCUUGAACCGCAUGGUUCAAUAGUGAAAGACGGUUUUGCUGUCACUUAUAGAUGGAUCCGCGCCGCAUUAGCUAGUUGGUAAGGUAACGGCUUACCAAGGCAACGAUGCGUAGCCGACCUGAGAGGGUGAUCGGACACACUAGAACUGAGACACGGUCCAGGCUCCUACGGGAGGCAGCAGUAGGGAAUCUUCCGCAAUGGGCGAAAGCCUGACGGAGCAACGCCGCGUGAGUGAUGAAGGUCUGCGGAUCGUAAAACUCUGUUAUUAGGGAAGAACAAAUGUGUAAGUAACUAUGCACGUCUUGACGGUACCUAAUCAGAAAGCCACGGCUAACUACGUG
rnacentral:rRNA from 1 species